rnacentral:rRNA from 1 species
AUUGAACGCUGGCGGCAGGCUUAACACAUGCAAGUCGAGCGGAGAUGAGGUGCUUGCACCUUAUCUUAGCGGCGGACGGGUGAGUAAUGCUUAGGAAUCUGCCUAUUAGUGGGGGACAACAUUCCGAAAGGAAUGCUAAUACCGCAUACGCCCUACGGGGGAAAGCAGGGGAUCUUAGGACCUAGCGCUAAUAGAUGAGCCUAGGUCGGAUUAGCUAGUUGGUGGGGUAAAGGCCUACCAAGGCGACGAUCUGUAGCGGGUCUGAGAGGAUGAUCCGCCACACUGGGACUGAGACACGGCCCAGACUCCUACGGGAGGCAGCAGUGGGGAAUAUUGGACGAUGGGCGGAAGCCUGAUCCAGCCAUGCCGCGUGUGUGAAGAAGGCCUUUUGGUUGUAAAGCACUUUAAGCGAGGAGGAGGCUACCUGGAUUAAUACUCUAGGAUAGUGGACGUUACUCGCAGAAUAAGCACCGGCUAACUCUGUGCCAGCAGCCGCCGUAACAC